rnacentral:rRNA from 1 species
UCUUCCCUCUUUCUUCGUGCCUAAUACAUGCAAGUCGAGCGAACAGACGAGGCGCUUGCUCCUCUGACGUUAGCGGCGGACGGGUGAGUAACACGUGGAUAACCUACCUAUAAGACUGGGAUAACUUCGGGAAACCGGAGCUAAUACCGGAUAACAUGUUGAACCGCAUGGUUCAACAGUGAAAGACGGUCUUGCUGUCACUUAUCGAUGGAUCCGCGCCGCAUUAGCUAGUUGGUAAGGUAACGGCUUACCAAGGCAACGAUGCGUAGCCGACCUGAGAGGGUGAUCGGCCACACUGGAACGUAGACACGGUCCAGACGCCUACGGGAGGCAGCAGUAGGGAAUCUUCCGCAAUGGGCGAAAGCCUGACGGAGCAACGCCGCGUGAGUGAAGAAGGUCUUCGGAUCGUAAAACUCUGUUAUUAGGGAAGAACAAAUUUGUAAGUAACUAUGCACGUCUUGACGGUACCUAAUCAGAAAGCCACGGCUAACUACGUG